rnacentral:rRNA from 1 species
GUCUACGACCUAGCAACCUGAAGGCACCUGACCUCACCUGCUCUCAGAAGCUAAAGCAGGUUGGGCCUGGCUAGUGCUAGAUGAGAGACGAUGUCUGUAAAUAAGGGAGUGCACA